rnacentral:lncRNA from 1 species
AAAUAACCGGGGAAGCGGAGAGGUGUCAGUGCGCAUGCUUAGAACCAGGAUUGUCGAUGUGGCUGAUGUAGAAAAACGAAGGAGUGUAACUGAAGCAUUACGAGGUAGAGUAAGAGAGAAGCUGAAAACAUACAAGGUUGUACAAGAAGAAAAAUUCACAGCCAAAAAGCUCUCUGAUACUAAAAUAUACCAGAAAAAGACUGAGGUAAUAAAUUUUGCAAAUAGUAAACAAAAUAAGCUAUAUACAUUAUAUUCAGUUCAGUGCAAAAAAAUGCAUGAGUUAAGUUUCCAAUAGUAUCUUUAACUCUGAUGAAUGACAUGAAUCUACUCACAUCUUGUUACUAAAUAUGUUGGUUAAUAUAUUGCUAUUUGUAAUUGAAUGUAUAUAUAAAAAAUCCAGAUGUCCAUUGUAGCCA